GACGAACGCUGGCGGCGUGCUUAACACAUGCAAGUCGAACGAUGAAGCCGGAGCUUGCUCUGGUGGAUUAGUGGCGAACGGGUGAGUAACACGUGAGUAACCUGCCCUUGACUCUGGGAUAAGCGUUGGAAACGACGUCUAAUACCGGAUACGAGCUAGGACCGCAUGGUCACUAGCUGGAAAGAACUUCGGUCAAGGAUGGACUCGCGGCCUAUCAGUUAGUUGGUGAGGUAACGGCUCACCAAGACGACGACGGGUAGCCGGCCUGAGAGGGUGACCGGCCACACUGGGACUGAGACACGGCCCAGACUCCUACGGGAGGCAGCAGUGGGGAAUAUUGCACAAUGGGCGCAAGCCUGAUGCAGCAACGCCGCGUGAGGGACGACGGCCUUCGGGUUGUAAACCUCUUUUAGCAGGGAAGAAGCGCAAGUGACGGUACCUGCAGAAAAAGCACCGGCUAACUACGUGCCAGCCGCCGCCGUAAGAC
rnacentral:rRNA from 1 species